CACACUCGAGAUCACAGGAGGGCUAACACGAUGGUUGUAUAGAGGGGAGGCGAUGCCAGAAGAUUUGCUACAAGUCUGUGCUAAUAGGGGACCAGAUCUAAGAGAAGACACACGUCAGGGACAUUUUAAGAGGGUGGGAUCUGUGUAACUGAAUCUAUCUUUGAAGUAGAUCAACAUGGAUGCCAUUUUAACUGAAGAUAUGCCCUAAGCUGUGUACGUGACAGCUACCGUACCCUACGUCGUCCUGAUUGUCCUGCUGAUUCGUGGUCUGACUCUACCUGGAGGAACAGAUGGAGUUCUGUUUUACAUCACUCCAAACUUCAGUAAACUCCUGGAGA